rnacentral:rRNA from 1 species
UACGGGGGGGGCAAGCGUUGUUCGGAAUUACUGGGCGUAAAGGGCUCGUAGGCGGCCAACUAAGUCAGACGUGAAAUCCCCAGGCUCAACCUGGGAACUGCGUCUGAUUCUGGAUGGCUUGAAUCCGGGAGAGGGAUGCAGAAUUCCAGGUGUAGCGGUGAAAUGCGUAGAUAUCUGGAGGAAUACCGGUGGCGAAGGCGGCAUCCUGGACCGGCAUUGACGCUGAGGAGCGAAAGCCAGGGGAGCAAACGGG